rnacentral:rRNA from 1 species
UACGUAGGGUCCGAGCGUUGUCCGGAAUUAUUGGGCGUAAAGGGCUCGUAGGCGGUUUGUCGCGUCGGGAGUGAAAACCAGGUGCUUAACACCUGGCCUGCUUUCGAUACGGGCAGACUAGAGGCAUUCAGGGGAGAACGGAAUUCCUGGUGUAGCAGUGAAAUGCGUAGAUAUCAGGAGGAACACCGAUGGCGAAGGCAGGUCUCUGGGCUGACACUGACGCUCAUGCACGAAAGCGUGGGGAGUAAACAGG